rnacentral:rRNA from 1 species
CCUGAUGGAGGAAUGUCGCGUGAAGGCAGAAGGCCCAUGGGUCAUGAAACUUCUUUUCUCGGAGAAGAAAAACUAAUGGUAUCUAAGGAAUAAGAAUCAGCUAACUCUAUGCCAACAACCACGGUAAGACAGAGGAUGCAAGAGUUAUCUAGAAUGAUUGGGCGUAAAGCGUUUGUAGGUGGAUUUUCAAGUCCGCCGUCAAAUCCCAGGGCCAAACCUUGGAUAGGUGGUGGAAACUACCAAGCUCGAGUACGGUAGGCGCAGAGGGAAUUUCUGGUGGAACGAUGAAAUGUGUUGAGAUUGAAAAAAACACCAACGUCGAAAGCACUCUGCUAGGCCGACACUGACACUGAGAGACAAAAGCUAGGGGAGAAAAUGGGAUUAGAUACCCCAGUAUUCCUAGCCGUAAAUGAUGGAUACUAAGUUUUGUGCAUAUAGACCCACGCAGUCUUGUAGCUAACAUGUUAAGUAUCCCACCUGGGGAGUACAUUCGCAAGAAUGAAACUCAAAGAAAUUGACAGGGGCCUGCACAAGCAGUGGAGCAUGUGGUUCAAUUUGAUGCAUAACAGAGAACCUUACUAGGGCUUGACAUGCCAUGAAUCCUCUUGAAAGAGAGGAGUGCCUUUGGGAACACGGACACAGGUGGUGCAUGGAUGUUGUCAGUUCAUGCCGUAAGGUGUUGGGUUAAGUCCCACAACGAGCACAACCCUCGUGUUUAAUUGCCAACAUUGAGUUUGGAACCAUGAACAAACUGUCAGUGAUAAGUUGGAGGAAGGUGAGGAUGACAUCAAUUCAUCAUGCCCCUUAUGCCCUAAGUGACACACGUGCUACAAUGAUUGGGACAAAGGUUCGCGACCUCAUGAGGGAAAGCUAACCUCAAACCUUGGGACACCCAAAUGUGGAGAGUUUACAACUCAAACUUGUGAUUUUAAAAAAUCCCUGCCAAUUCUAGACAAUUUAACCUAGAAAAUAUGUUGGGAAAUCUUCCAAAACUUAGAACAAAUAGGCUAUAACAGUCUACCAAUAUUAUCUGAUUUUUAAUCCAACUUAAAGAAUUAAUAAAUUAAACAAUUUAAUUUAUUUGAAUUUAACACCCAAA